GUGGGGACUGGGGAGGGUUAGUGGGAUAUUGGCUUCCAUCGAUCCUUUUAUUCUCUGCGUUGUGCGUUGAGUUUGUUCGAAGACCAAUUUCUCGGUUCUCUCAAGGUCACUUGAAAUGGCAGCAAGACACCGUGUUCACAGAGAACAUAUGAAUGGCCGAAGGGGUUACCCACCGGAAGGGCCUUAUGCUCGCGUGCCUCCCAUGCCACGCCCGCCGAUUCCUCCUCAUCCGGCUCUGUUGGAAGAAGAACUUGAAUUACAGCAUGCGGAAUUGCGGAGGCUAGUGGAAGAUAACAGGAGGCUGCUUGACGACAGAAUGGCAUUGCAGCGAGACCUUGCAGCUGCAAAGGAGGAGCUUCAUCGCAUGAAUCUGGCCAUAGGUGAUAUUCGUGCCGAACAGGAGCUGCAUUCAAGGGAGCUUAUUGAGAAAGGCAUGAAGUUGGAGUCUGACCUCAGGGCAACUGAGCCCUUAAAGAAUGAGGUUAUACAACUGCGAGCUGAAGUUCAGAAACUGAAUAAUCUCAAACAAGAUCUUACAGGGAAGGUUCAGACACUCACGCAAGAUGUUGCAAGGUUACAAUCUGAUAAUCAACAAAUUCCUCUGUUGAGGGGUGAGAUUGAUGGCAUGCACCAAGAGCUAAUGCGUGCUAGAACCAUGGUGGAUUAUGAAAAGAAGGCAAACAUAGAGUUCAUGGAACAGAGGCAGUCGAUGGAGAAAAACUUGGUUUCCAUGGCUCGGGAAGUUGAGAAAUUACGUGCUGAGCUUGCUAGUGCUGAUGGCAGACAUUGGGGUGCUGGUGGGCCUUAUGGAACAAAGUUUGGUAGCCCAGAGGGAGGCUUUCCAGCUCCAUAUUCUGAUGGAUAUGGUGUUCACCUGGGUGGGGCAGAGAAAGGUCCUCUGUAUGGGGCAGGCGCUGCUUCAAGGAAAGGGCAUGAGAAGCUUCGCCCAAAUCGUCGUUGACAUUCAAGUGAUUGCUGUUGGUGAUGAGGCUUGCCAUCUUUAGGCUUUCUGUUAUCAGAAUAGCUGAGAUUGAGUUUGAUUUCCUUCUGUGUAUGCAUGCCGCAUCAAUGGUCAUUUUAUCUCUAAGUUUAAUGAAAGACUGGGAAUCUUGUUCGGGUCUGAAAAGUAAGGAAAAAUUCCCGUAUAUGUCUUUUGAUCAUAGUGUUGUGAGAUUUUGAGGAACACGAGUAGGUUCCUUGUUAUUUCAAAAUGCAAAAUGGAAUGAUGCUUAUUGUGGGCUUAAGAAUGGUUGAUCGCAUGUGAACGGAUAAAUUUUACCUAGCUGUGAUGGAUCAAGAAAACAUGUUAGUCUGCCUUUGUUGUGUUGGAUCAUAUUAUUGAGAGACCGGGAAUGAAAGCAUUGUUGGUACGCAUGGAUUGUUACGGACUUACAAAUGGCUACAAUUUUAGUUUGCUAGAUGGAUCGUGAAUCCCUGCUUGAAAUGUUGCAUGCCGUUUUGUGAAAUAAGGGAUGCCUCGGUAAGAUAUCUUGACGAAUUGUUCAGUUCAGUCCUCAAACUUAAUAUUGUUUCUUCGCACACACUACAAAUUUUCAAAGCCGAGCCAGGCAAAGCCUCUUCUACCCUCGUUUUUUUACCAUCAGGUUUUGGCUUUAAACCUGUAAAUAGUUGUGUUAACAAUUGUUUGCACGCCUUUUAUUUCUUCUAAUUGUCUGUGAUGUUAUUAAAUUAUAUUUAGAUGUGUAGAAUAAAAUCGAUGUGAACCCUAUACACAUCACAUUGAAUUGGGAAUGAAUGUAUCCAACAGUACUCAAAUAACCGAUUAAUUAAUGGGAUAUGUUUUUUUUAUGUUGCAUGAAACAAAUUGUCUCAUGCAACAUUUGUCUCAUGCAACAUACAAAAAGUGAGUAGGACUCACUUUUUUCUUUUCUCUCUCUUCAUUUUAGUGGGUCUCACUCACUUUUUUAUGUGUUGCAACAUGAGAAAAAUAUUUCCCUUAAUUAAUAUGGCAAAGGACUCGAGGUCAUCAUUCGAGUGGUCCUCCUUGGCGUAUCUUGGUUAUGAUCAAAGAGCUUCUCAGCAGGAGUUGAGAGGCUAUUUACCAGCAUACUUUUAGGGUUUAGCUGGGUUGGUCAUGGUUCUGCUACUGGUUUCUAAUUUUAGAUUCACUUCCCCUUUAUGUUUACAUUUUCCG